rnacentral:rRNA from 1 species
UGCGUAGGCGGGUCUUUAAGUCAGGGGUGAAAUCCUGGAGCUCAACUCCAGAACUGCCUUUGAUACUGAAGAUCUUGAGUUCGGGAGAGGUGAGUGGAACUGCGAGUGUAGAGGUGAAAUUCGUAGAUAUUCGCAAGAACACCAGUGGCGAAGGCGGCUCACUGGCCCGAUACUGACGCUGAGGCAAGACUGGGGAGGGCGAAACAA